CGGACGACGCUGCGGCGUGCCAAUACAUGCAAGUCGAACGAGAGCGACCGGUGCUUGCACUGGUCAAUCUAGUGGCGAACGGGUGAGGUAACACUGGGUAACCUGCCCAUCAGAGGGGGAUAACAUUCGGAAACGGAUGCUAAAACCGCAUAGGUCUUCGAACCGCAUGGUUUGAAGAGGAAAAGAGGCGCAAGCUUCUGCUGAUGGAUGGACCCGCGGUGCAUUAGCUAGUUGGUGAGGUAACGGCUCACCAAGGCCGUGAUGCAUAGCCGACCUGAGAGGGUGAUCGGCCACAUUGGGACUGAGACACGGCCCAAACUCCUACGGGAGGCAGCAGUAGGGAAUCUUCCGCAAUGGACGCAAGUCUGACGGAGCAACGCCGCGUGAGUGAAGAAGGUUUUCGGAUCGUAAAACUCUGUUGUUAGAGAAGAGCAAGUGCUAGAGUAACUGUUAGCGCCUUGACGGUAUCUAACCAGAAAGCCACGGCUAACUACGUG
rnacentral:rRNA from 1 species